rnacentral:lncRNA from 1 species
GUGCUGAGGAUUGAACCCAAUGCCUCACACAUGCUUGGUGGGCACUAUACCACUGAGUUACAACCCCAGCCCCCAUGAGUUCGUUUUAAGAUAAGAACAGUGGGCAGAGAUUUGAGAGAAUAUAGGAGGUAGAAUCUAUAAAACUUGGUAACUGAUUAGAUGUGGGAUGGGAUGUUUCUGUCCGUCAGUUAAUAAAUAUUCAUUAAAUUUAGUGCUAAGCAUAGUCCCAGAUGCUCUAAAUGCAGCAGUGAUUUUGUAAAACAUAGUUCCCUCUCUUGAAUAGUUUAGAAUUUAGUAGGGGAAGUAGAAAAAAAUGAGAAUGAGAGAAGUAUUAUGAAAAUAAAAGUGAUGUGAAAGGGUGUGAGAUGAGAGUUCUAAUUUAAUGGUCAGAGAAGGCCUUGCUGGGUACCUGCCAUUGUCAUAUAAAUAUGUAUUUAUUGCUUUGGUAAAAUUAAAAUACUUUCUAAAAUUUGAAAACAUAAGCAAUGAAAGAACCAUAAAAGAUUCUUUAAAAACCUGACCCAAGAAGUAUGGGGAAACUGGGUUACACUAUUGAGGAAAACCAGAGGACAGGAGUUUGAAAGGACAGAAAGGUCAGCAGUGUCUAGAACUUAAGAAAGGGCAAUCAGGUAAGACCUGAAAUUUGUCAUUUGGAUUUGACAAUUGGUGAACCUAGUGAAAGCAGUUUAUUUAGAAUGGUGGGUGCAGAAACCAGAUGGCAGGUGGGUUGGAGAAUUGAAUGCGAGGAAGUAGAAACAGUUUCUGGGAGCUUGAUUUGAUAAAAUAAUAGCUAUCGUUCAUUGUGCCAGCCUCUUUGCAGGGAACCCUACUUAACUGACCUCAUCUAACCCUAAACAAUCUAUGAGAUAGGUAUUAUUAUUUUCAUUUUACAAAUGGGGAAAUUGUUCAGGGUCACACCAGGAGAGGUAUUAGCCUUGGACUGGAGAAGGACUACCAUUAAAUUAAAGCUAGAAAGAUGAGUUAUUGUAGGGCUGGGAUGUAGCUCAGUAAUAGAGUGCUUGCCUAGAAAUGUGAUCUCAGGUUGAUAUUUGCAAAUCAAUGUGAAAAUAACCAAGGUUUUUUUUCUGUUGGUAGUUGAAGCUAUUUUCCCCCCAGUUCCGUGGCUUUAGGACUUACAGUACGAUAUUUGCUAAAUAAAAGUCUGGUGCAGUGGCACACAUCUAUAGUCCCCACUACUCAGGAGAAUGAGACAGGGAUCACUUGAGCCCGGGAGUUCAAGACCAGCCUAGUAAAAU